rnacentral:rRNA from 1 species
UACAGAGGGUGCAAGCGUUAAUCGGAAUUACUGGGCGUAAAGCGUGCGCAGACGGUUGCGUAAGUCAGAUGUGAAAGCCCCGGGCUCAACCUGGGAAUUGCAUUUGAGACUGCGUAGCUAGGGUGCGGAAGAGGGAAGCGGAAUUUCCGGUGUAGCGGUGAAAUGCGUAGAUAUCUGGAGGAACACCGGUGGCGAAGGCGGCAUCCUGGACCGGCAUUGACGCUGAGGCGCGAAAGCCAGGGGAGCAAACGGG